GCCCCUGUAGCUCAGUUGGUUAGAGCGCUGCAUCGGAAUCGCAGGGCCGUAGGUUCAAUUCCUACCAGAGGAC
rnacentral:tRNA from 1 species